CAGUGGCUGUGAACCCAGGGAGAAGAGCAGAUCCUGCAGGCGCACUUCCACACUCUCGCUGAUCAUUUCUUCCAGUCCUAUGUGCUCGACUUCGGGGAAGAACCAAAGACACCAACACACAGUCAGUGGACGUCCAAGGUAGGGCCUGGAAAUCAUACAGAAACCCACAAAAGACCCCACAGAGACCUUCUGAGCCCUUGGGCAAGCCACCUAUCUUCUCUGGACUCCCUGGAGGACAUCCACCUCAUCACAACUUGGAAAAUCUUGGAACUCAAACAAGACAAGCUCGGCUG